rnacentral:rRNA from 1 species
AGUGAACGCUGGCGGUAGGCCUAACACAUGCAAGUCGAACGGCAGCACAGUAAGAGCUUGCUCUUACGGGUGGCGAGUGGCGGACGGGUGAGGAAUACAUCGGAAUCUACUUUUUCGUGGGGGAUAACGUAGGGAAACUUACGCUAAUACCGCAUACGACCUACGGGUGAAAGCAGGGGAUCUUCGGACCUUGCGCGAUUGAAUGAGCCGAUGUCGGAUUAGCUAGUUGGCGGGGUAAAGGCCCACCAAGGCGACGAUCCGUAGCUGGGCUGAGAGGAUGAUAAGCCACACUGGAACUGAGACACGGUCCAGACUCCUACGGGAGGCAGCAGUGGGGAAUAUUGGACAAUGGGCGCAAGCCUGAUCCAGCCAUACCGCGUGGGUGAAGAAGGCCUUCGGGUUGUAAAGCCCUUUUGUUGGGAAAGAAAAGCAGCAGGUUAAUACCCCGCUGUUCUGACGGUACCCAAAGAAUAAGCACCGGCUAACUUCGUG